rnacentral:rRNA from 1 species
UGGGCAAUCUGCCCUGCACUCUGGGACAAGCCCUGGAAACGGGGUCUAAUACCGGAUAUGACUGUCCGUCGCAUGGUGGAUGGUGUAAAGCUCCGGCGGUGCAGGAUGAGCCCGCGGCCUAUCAGCUUGUUGGUGAGGUAGUGGCUCACCAAGGCGACGACGGGUAGCCGGCCUGAGAGGGCGACCGGCCACACUGGGACUGAGACACGGCCCAGACUCCUACGGGAGGCAGCAGUGGGGAAUAUUGCACAAUGGGCGAAAGCCUGAUGCAGCGACGCCGCGUGAGGGAUGACGGCCUUCGGGUUGUAAACCUCUUUCAGCAGGGAAGAAGCGAAAGUGACGGUACCUGCAGAAGAAGCGCCGGCUAACUACGUGCCAGCAGCCGCGGUAAUACGUAGGGCGCAAGCGUUGUCCGGAAUUAUUGGGCGUAAAGAGCUCGUAGGCGGCUUGUCACGUCGGUUGUGAAAGCCCGGGGCUUAACCCCGGGUCUGCAGUCGAUACGGGCAGGCUAGAGUUCGGUAGGGGAGAUCGGAAUUCCUGGUGUAGCGGUGAAAUGCGCAGAUAUCAGGAGGAACACCGGUGGCGAAGGCGGAUCUCUGGGCCGAUACUGACGCUGAGGAGCGAAAGCGUGGGGAGCGAACAGGAUUAGAUACCCUGGUAGUCCACGCCGUAAACGGUGGGCACUAGGUGUGGGCAACAUUCCACGUUGUC